rnacentral:rRNA from 1 species
GAGGAAGUAAAAGUCGUAACAAGGUUUCCGUAGGUGAACCUGCGGAAGGAUCAUUAACGAAUGUCAAACACCAACACGGCUCAAACGUGGGCGACGCGAGUCGCCUUGCCGUGGACCCAUCAAACACCUGUGCACCCAGCGAGCGUGUCUCCCUCAGGGGAGAAGCGUUCACUCCCUUUGUAACCAAAACGCCUGUUAACGAAGCAUGUCCGAUCGAGCUCUACGGAGCGAGUAACAUAUAAUACAACUUUCAACAACGGAUCUCUUGGCUUUCGCAUCGAUGAAGAACGCCGCGAAAGUGCGAAACGUAAUGUGAAUUGCAGAAUUCAGUGAAUCAUCGAAUCUUUGAACGCAUCUUGCGCUCCUUGGUAUUCCGAGGAGCAUGCCUGUUUGAGUGUCGUGAAGUCUAUCGAUCCGCGGCUCUUUGUUAGUCGGUGGGUCGGAUUUGGACGCUGCCGUCCUUCGUGGACGGCUCGUCUCGAAAUGCAUUAGCUGUUUCCCAUCCCACAGACGACGGUGUGAUAACAAACUCGCCGGCGUCGGUGGUAACCAAAUGGGUCGGCUCACAGUCGUCUUCGGACAAAACACAUCAUCAUCUGACCUCAAAUCAGGUAGGACUACCCGCUGAACUUAAGCAUAUCAAUAAGCGGAGGAAAAGAAACUAACAAGGAUUCCCCUAGUAACGGCGAGUGAAGCGGGAUGAGCUCAAAUUUGUAAUCUGGCGGUCUCCGGCCGUCCGAGUUGUAGUCUGGAGAAGCGUCUUCCGUGCCGGACCGUGUACAAGUCCCUUGGAACAGGGCGUCGUAGAGGGUGAGAAUCCCGUCUCUGACACGGACUACCGGUGCUCUGUGAUGCGCUCUCGAAGAGUCGAGUUGUUUGGGAAUGCAGCUCAAAAUGGGUGGUAAAUUCCAUCUAAAGCUAAAUAUUGGCGAAAGACCGAUAGCGAACAAGUACCGUGAGGGAAAGAUGAAAAGCACUUUGGAAAGAGAGUUAAACAGUACGUGAAAUUGUUGAAAGGGAAACGCUUGAAGUCAGUCGCGUCUUCCGAGACUCAGCCGGGUUCUUACCCGGUGCACUUCUCGGUGUCGACGGGCCAGCAUCGAUUUCGACCGUCGGAGAAAGGCUCUGGGAAUGUGGCACCUUCGGGUGUGUUAUAGCCCUCUGUCGUAUGCGACGGUCGGGAUCGAGGACCGCAGCGUGCCCUUCAUCGGGCCGGGGUUCGCCCACGUAACGCG